GUACUAUUAGCUCAGUUGGUAGAGCAGCAGACUCUUAAUCUGAUGGUCCCGGGUUCGACCCCCGGAUGGUGCA
rnacentral:tRNA from 2 species